rnacentral:misc_RNA from 1 species
UUGCUAUGAUUACAGGAGGUGGUGAGGCCACGGUUACGUGAGAAAAUGCUAAUCUCCUGGCGUGGCCGUGCGCACGCUGCUCUGAACGCUGUGUGACGCAGAGUGCGUGGCGAGAGGCGAGAUGUCGACGUCCCGGCUCCGGGGCCACGACAUUUCCAUGGAAACGUAGACGCGGUCUACGCGGGAGCACUUGCCGCGCCCGGUGUUGCUACGCGAUGUUGCCCCGUACUGUUCCUUGCAGUUAGGUUAUCCACAGAUUGCACUCCGUCGUAGCGAUCAUACCAAUCACGUCCACGGGCUCCGAACGUCAUCGUCCUCAACCCGCCCAGUUAACAAACACAGAAGGCCUAGAAUUUGGAGAGCACACGUGACGUGACAUUAGAGAAUAACAAGAGAGUGCAAACUGCAGUGUUAAUGUUCACAUGACGUUGCCAUCCUUAUAUUUCGUACAAUGAGCAGCUGGACCGAGAGAAUGCAUCGACGUGCCGCUACACUAGGAAAUGUUGUAACCAGCUGUGGACAUCCUUCCUCGGUAUCACCAUAUCCAAGACGCCUUGAAAAAGUCAAAUUUGGGGUACCUCUUGACGAAGUGUGUAAAAACGAUAUUCCCGGUCCUUUACUGGUUCUUAUAUUGAAAUUAAACAAGGAGGCUCCACUCAGGAAAUAUAUUUUCCGGGCACCUGGCCACCAAGCUAACAUGAAAAAACUCAUUCACUUCCUGCAAACUGGGCACUUGGUCAAUAUGGACAAUUUUAGCGUUUAUACGAUAGCUAGCGUGCUGAAAAAAUUUCUACGCAAAAUACCGGGUGGUGUGUUCGGGAAAGAAGGGGAGCAACAAUUGUUCACUGUAAUUCAGCUGGAUAGCAUAGAACAACAACGGGACCAGAUACAUAAAUUAAUCACUUCCUUGCCGAUAUACACACAACGAUUGUUGGUGCUGCUAUUCGGGACAUUCAGGGUAGUAGCAGUAAAUAGCGAACGAGCACGCACGGAAAUGUCCAGCGAAGCCCUGGGAGUAUCCGUAGCACCGUCGUUUUUUCAGAGUUGCGUCAGCGACGGCAAAACUGUCAAGAUGGAAGAUGUUCUCAGAUUUAAGGUUGCCACACGCGUCAUGAAGUUUAUGAUAGACAAUUUUGGUGUGUCGAAUCUCUUUGGCAGAGAUAAUUACGAAUUUUACGCGCGAAUAACCGGUAGAAUAUUAAAAGUGGAGGAGGACUGGAUCUUUAGUUUUCGAUAUCCACCGAAUACUCUCGUGUCGAGACAAUUAUCGUUGGAAGCCGAGAAAACGUGGUUGCAAUGUGAAUGCGAGAGAUGGGGACUAAAGUUUAAUUUAGAAUGUAUGUCGCAUCAGGAAGAGUCGCAGUCAACCCCGGCGCUAAUUCACAUGCCAGAAUCCUUGGACCUCGCUUCGUCGUUAGGCAUGAUACCCGAGAACACCCUGCUCGAGAGUUACACGCGCCUCUCAGUUAGUUUAGAGGAGAACGGCCUGUUCCAGGCGUCCAGUCGAUCGUCUAGCAACGGCAGCCAUCAUUCUCGACAUGCGGGAAUGACGUUAGACGAGCUUCGCGCGGUAAAUCGCUACGCCGAGAGCACCAAGAGUCUCAGUUACCUGCCGCAGGUGAGGUUCACGAAAGGCAAGCCGCACGAAUGCGCACCCGAUCCGAGUGGUUUCUCACACCGGUCGGAGAAAGACUGACCGCGACGGACAGCGAUCCCACAGCGAUACAUGUACUGCGCGGUUCUAACCGGUCUUCUUCCGGCAACAUCGCCACAGGUUUGAGCGCCAGCGCGGAGUCCGUGAAGCGGCCGAGUUUGCGACGAACGUCCUCCAGGGAGAAGCAACGGCUGCACCGCAGCUCGUCCCGCCGCAACAAGGAGAACGGUGCGAAGGCACGCGCAGCAGAGGCGGCAUGCAAAUCGCGCUCCUUGGAGACAAUGAAGACGAAGAUCGUGCGAGU